rnacentral:rRNA from 1 species
GAUGAACGCUGGCGGCGUGCCUAAUACAUGCAAGUCGAGCGAACAGACGAGGAGCUUGCUCCUCUGACGUUAGCGGCGGACGGGUGAGUAACACGUGGAUAACCGACCUAUAAGACUGGGAUAACUUCGGGAAACCGGAGCUAAUACCGGAUAAUAUAUUGAACCGCAUGGUUCAAUAGUGAAAGACGGUUUUGCUGUCACUUAUAGAUGGAUCCGCGCCGCAUUAGCUAGUUGGUAAUGUAACGGCUUACCAAGGCGACGAUGCGUAGCCGACCUGAGAGGGUGAUCGGCCACACUGGAACUGAGACACGGUCCAGACUCCUACGGGAGGCAGCAGUAGGGAAUCUUACGCAAUGGGCGAAAGCCUGACGGAGCAACGCCGCGUGAGUGAUGAAGGUCUUCGGAUCGUAAAACUCUGUUAUUAGGGAAGAACAAAUGUGUAAGUAACUAUGCACGUCUUGACGGUACCUAAUCAGAAAGCCACGGCUAACUACGUG